rnacentral:lncRNA from 1 species
UUAAGGAUUGUUCGACGUGGGCAGAUUGCAGAAGAGGGGAUUCUUGCUGCAAUUCUGGUUUUGUGUGUGCAACUAUAUUUGGUUUUGGGUUAGAUAGGAGAUUUAUAUUUUUGCGUGAUGCUUCUAUAAAUUCCUUAUUGUAAAAACCGCAACCAUUAUAAUGCAUUUGCUUCUUGAGUUGGAAGGACACUAAAUGUAGGCAUUAUUGGUCGAACCAGUAUACAAAACCAGUG